UAAGCCUCCUAAACUUUUGGGCCUGCAGGGGUAUCGGGUAUCCCAAAAGAAAGCCCAGAUGGUGAAACAAACAGUUAUUUACCUGGGCUAUGAAGUGAGUGCUGGACAAAGGACCUUGGGGCAAGCCUGCAAGGAAGCAAUAUGCCAAACCCCAAAACCCCAGACAGUAAGAGAACUGAGAACCUUUCUAGGCAUGAUGGGGUGGUGCAGACUGUGGAUUUAUAACUGUGGAUUGUUCAUUAAAACCCUGUGUGCCUUAAUCAUGGAAGGGAGCAGGGAUCUUCAGUGGACAACAGAAGCAACACAAGCCUUUGACCAACUAAAGAAGGCUCUUAUGUCAGCUCCAGCCCUGGGAUUUUCAGAUCUUCUUUCCUCAGCGGGAGUGAGGGAGAACCAGUGAUCCACGACUGCCUGGAGACCACUGAAGCCACCUACUCCAGUGCCUGGAUCUGAAGAACACCCCUCUUGAAGACGCUGAGACCUGGUUCACCGAUCAUCAGCAGAAAAGGACAUGCUGGGUAUGUGGUUACCACAUGCAGACCAUUGCCAACAAACACCUCUGUGCAAAAAGCUGAAAUAAUUGCCUAACCCAGACCUUAGAGCUGGCAAAAGAAAAGAAAUCAACAUUUAUAUAGACUCAAGGUAUGCAUUUAGAAUGGUCUAUACACACAAAACUUUUUGAGGAAAAAAAAAAAGACUGCUGAACUCACAAGGGAAGACACCAAAAAGUGAGCUCAGAAUUAGAACAAGGAAAUAUGCUGGUGGACAGAGAGGCAAAAGACGCAGCCAAAGGUGAGGUACCCAAUGAAAUGGUCGAAGCAACACUAAUUCCAGAUAGAAAGAUCUCUAUUGAAGGUAAGCCAGUAUAUAACAAAAAAGAUAAGAAACUUAUUAAAGAAGAGGAAGCAAUUUAUAACCAAGAGAGGUGAGCUGUAACAAAAAAGGAAAAUUGUAGUACCUUUCUACUUGUUGUGGUCAUUAGUGCUAAAAGAAUAUGAGAAAACACAUUAAGAUAUAGAUGCCCUAUGCAAUUAUUUAAAAGAUAGAAUUCUAGCUAGAAAAUUAUAAGGCACAGUAGCACAAGUAUCUCGUCAGUGUGGUUUUGCCUCCAAACUAAUCCUAAAAACUUUCCAAAGCCUAAAGUUGGACAAAUU